UGCUCUUAUGAAGUUAGCGGCGGACGGGUGAGUAACACGUGGGUAACCUGCCCAUAAGACUGGGAUAACUCCGGGAAACCGGGGCUAAUACCGGAUAACAUUUUGAACCGCAUGGUUCGAAAUUGAAAGGCGGCUUCGGCUGUCACUUAUGGAUGGACCCGCGUCGCAUUAGCUAGUUGGUGAGGUAACGGCUCACCAAGGCAACGAUGCGUAGCCGACCUGAGAGGGUGAUCGGCCACACUGGGACUGAGACACGGCCCAGACUCCUACGGGAGGCAGCAGUAGGGAAUCUUCCGCAAUGGACGAAAGUCUGACGGAGCAACGCCGCGUGAGUGAUGAAGGCUUUCGGGUCGUAAAACUCUGUUGUUAGGGAAGAACAAGUGCUAGUUGAAUAAGCUGGCACCUUGACGGUACCUAACCAGAAAGCCACGGCUAACUACGUGCCAGCAGCCGCGGUAAUACGUAGGUGGCAAGCGUUAUCCGGAAUUAUUGGGCGUAAAGCGCGCGCAGGUGGUUUCUUAAGUCUGAUGUGAAAGCCCACGGCUCAACC
rnacentral:rRNA from 2 species